GACUACUCGGGUAUCUAAUCCUGUUCGCUACCCACGCUUUCGUGCCUCAGCGUCAAUUCAGGUCCAGUCAGCUGCCUUCGCAAUCGAUGUUCCAUGGCAUAUCUAAGCAUUUCACCGCUACAUGCCACAUUCCGCCAACCUCAUCCUCAUUCAAGCUAUACAGUAUCAAUGGCAAUCCCAUGGUUAAGCCACGGCCUUUCACCACUGACUUAUUUAGCCGCCUACGCACCCUUUAAACCCAGUGAUUCCGGAUAACGCUUGCACCCUCCGUAUUACCGCGGCUGCUGGCACGGAGUUAGCCGGUGCUUAUUCUAAUGGUACCGUCAGUCGAGGAUAAAUCCCCUUUUUUCGUCCCAUUCAAAAGAAGUUUACAAGGCAGAGCCCCUUCAUCCUUCACGCGGGAUGGCUGGUUCAGAGUUUCCUCCAUUGACCAAUAUUCCUUACUGCAGCCCCCCGUAGG
rnacentral:rRNA from 1 species